AUUAAUAUUGAAGGUUGUCAAAUAUCAUAAAAUCAACACACAAAAUUCACACACAAAGGUUUAAAAUAAUGUAUAUUGGUAUAAACGUUUAAUAAAAAUGCAUACAUACGUAACCCAUGGUCGGCAUGGAAUUUUGUCACUUGGCACAGUACUUUAAUGUCCCACAUUAAAAUAUAUUGAGUCAAUGACAGUGCAACUGUUCAUAUUAAAACGUUCUAAUCACAUUUUACAUGCACAUUUGUAUUCAGUAGUAAAUCUUUUCAUAAAGGUACAUCAAAGUCCCAAAUCAAAUUCUUCACUGACAGUAUGUUAUUGACUCCCAAACGACAAAUAUGAUAAAACACGCUUCCAAGCUGAAAACUUAGAAAUAUUUACUGUUGUCAG